rnacentral:piRNA from 1 species
UCCUAGAUUGUGUCUGGCAGCUGGUGCAC